GCCCCUUGCAGCACCGCCGGCGCAUCAGCUGCGACCCGGAGCCGCGAGUCCGCGCGGCUGCGAGCGCGCCCGCUGCCCGCACUGCCGGUGCUCAUCUGGACUCGGCCUCGCGAAUCGCGACGCCGCACGGCAGCCAGCCCUCCGCCCCUCAUCGCCUCUUGGUGCCGCUCGGCAGCCAGCCCUCAGCUGCGGUGGUGUGCAGUAGCUUGCAAUUUAAGUGGAUCAAGAAGAAGCAAGUAACAAAUCAAGAGCCGUAGGUGCAAGUGCAAGGAACUAUUGAUUGCCCUCCCUCCUUUUGAUUGAAAUGUGAUUUAUCAAUUGUAAUUUGUAAUGAACUUGUAGAUUUGUAAUACUGCUUGCAUGCUGCUCUCUUUUGCUUGCCGUUGAUAAUAUAUGGGCAUAUGGCUUGUGACUUGUGCAUACUGGUUGCUGCUGCCAUAGGUUGGUGAA